UACAGAGGGGGCAAGCGUUGUUCGGAAUUACUGGGCGUAAAGGGCGCGUAGGCGGCCGCCUAAGUCAGACGUGAAAUCCCUCGGCUCAACCCGGGAACUGCGUCCGAUACUGGCAGGCUUGAAUCCGGGAGAGGGAUGCGGAAUUCCAGGUGUAGCGGUGAAAUGCGUAGAUAUCUGGAGGAACACCGGUGGCGAAGGCGGCAUCCUGGACCGGCAUUGACGCUGAGGCGCGAAAGCCAGGGGAGCAAACGGG
rnacentral:rRNA from 1 species